AACGCACGAGACCUGCGGACCUGCGGAAGGAUCAUUAACACAAAAAUUAAAUUAUCCACUUACCAAUGGGACAAUUUCAUUUGGAAUUGUUUCCAUUGGCAAGCACCGUGAGACGUUGAAGUCUUUAACCUCAUUCGUGAGGUUUCAAAAACUCUUUUAGAAUUUUAUUUCUGACUUAUUUUUCAAAAAAAAGAAAACCGAGACACAACUUUCAACAAUGGAUCUCUAGAUCGGAAGAGC
rnacentral:misc_RNA from 1 species